AGUGAACGCUGGCGGUAGGCCUAACACAUGCAAGUCGAACGGUAGCACAGGAGAGCUUGCUCUCUGGGUGGCGAGUGGCGGACGGGUGAGGAAUACAUCGGAAUCUACCUUUUCGUGGGGGAUAACGUAGGGAAACUUACGCUAAUACCGCAUACGACCUACGGGUGAAAGUGGGGGACCGCAAGGCCUCACGCGAUUAG
rnacentral:rRNA from 1 species